AUUCUAGCUCCAAUAGCGUAUAUUAAAGUUGUUGCCGUUAAAAAGCUCGUAGUCGAACUUCGGGUCCUGUCCGCCGGUCCGCCUUCUUGGUGUGUACUUGUUGGAUGGGACCUUACCUCCUGGUGAACAGCGAUGUCCUUUACUGGGUGUCGUUGCAAACCAGGACGUUUACUUUGAAAAAAUUAGAGUGUUCAAAGCAGGCCUUUGCCCGAAUACAUUAGCAUGGAAUAAUAGAAUAGGACGCGCGUUCCCAUUUUGUUGGUUCCUGAGAUCGCCGUAAUGAUUAAUAGGGAUAGUUGGGGGCAUUUGUAUUCCGACGUCAGAGGUGAAAUUCUUGGAUUGCCGGAAGACAAACUACUGCGAAAGCAUUUGCCAAGGAUGUUUUCAUUA
rnacentral:rRNA from 1 species